rnacentral:lncRNA from 1 species
GCCCCUCUGGCUCGGUCCUCCUCCACCCGCCUCGCGGACUCGGGCGGGGGUUAGGGGGGGCACUCUGACACUCUUAGCACAGUUGGGAAAGGGGUGGAGGGCGAGCAGGGCGAACUACAUCUCCCAUCAUGCCCAGCACUGCGGUCCUCACAAAACAAAAAAGGAAGUCGAUUCCUUCACCUGGAUCCCCGGGAGAGGGAGGGGCCCGGACCGCCGACUGCGCUGGAGACUUUUCGCUUAGCUCCUGGUCAGCUGUCGUGUUUGUGCGCGCUUCUAAGUUACCUUGUCGUGCUUCAGCCUUUGGUCCCAUCUCAUGAAACCAGCAUUGUUCCAGCCUGUGAGAACCCUGUCUGCGUCCUCAGCUCGAUAGAUUUUGUUUAAUUUAAAAGCCUUUUGUUGUGAGAAGGUGAGGUUUGCCUAGUGCCCCCCUCUGGGUCUCUGCCAUCAACACCCCAGGGACUCCAAAACAAGUUGCCAACCUUGCCUUCCCGGCCCUUUUUCCUCCUGUGGUUUUGUGCAUACUGAAUUGUAUCUCACCGGGUAAAACUGUUCGGGUUAUUUGUUUAAAUUUAUAAUCUUAAUAAAAAGUCGAUUGUAGAGUGUA